rnacentral:rRNA from 1 species
GGAGUACGGCCGCAAGGUUAAAACUCAAAUGAAUUGACGGGGGCCCGCACAAGCGGUGGAGCAUGUGGUUUAAUUCGAUGCAACGCGAAGAACCUUACCUGGUCUUGACAUCCACGGAAGAAUUCAGAGAUGGAUUUGUGCCUUCGGGAACCGUGAGACAGGUGCUGCAUGGCUGUCGUCAGCUCGUGUUGUGAAAUGUUGGGUUAAGUCCCGCAACGAGCGCAACCCUUAUCCUUUGUUGCCAGCGGUCCGGCCGGGAACUCAAAGGAGACUGCCAGUGAUAAACUGGAGGAAGGUGGGGAUGACGUCAAGUCAUCAUGGCCCUUACGACCAGGGCUACACACGUGCUACAAUGGCGCAUACAAAGAGAAGCGACCUCGCGAGAGCAAGCGGACCUCAUAAAGUGCGUCGUAGUCCGGAUUGGAGUCUGCAACUCGACUCCAUGAAGUCGGAAUCGCUAGUAAUCGUGGAUCAGAAUGCCACGGUGAAUACGUUCCCGGGCCUUGUACACACCGCCCGUCACACCAUGGGAGUGGGUUGCAAAAGAAGUAGGUAGCUUAACCUUCGGGAGGGCGCUUACCACUUUGUGAUUCAUGACUGGGGUGAAGUCGUAACAAGGUAACCGUAGGGGAACCUGC